GGUAAGAUCACACAAGAGGAAGUAAAAAAAAAUUUAAAAAAAACUAUUGGAUUUUCCCAGCCUUCUAAGCACAAGGAAUACAGACAAAGCCUCUUGAAAUAACCCUAAUCUGGGUGCAACAACAUUGUGGAAAGUUUUUUUUUUUUAAAUCACCAGUGUGAAGGAUUCAGCAAGACUGGAUUUCAGAACAAAUACAUUGUGAUCAUCCCGCAGUGGAUUAAACACACUGUGCAUCUUGAGCCAAAAUAAUUCAAAUCGAGAAAAAGGUGGAAUUACAGCUCUAGAUCCUCUGCAGUGUGCUUGGAUUAGACAGUCCAGCUUUACCUCCAGACCCUCAUCUCUCCCUACACCCCGACUCGACCUCUCCGCUCCGCCUACACUAGAAGACUGGCUCUACCUCCGCUACGCUCCCCUGCCUCCCGAGCCUGCUCCUUCUCCACCCUUGCUCCGCAGUGGUGGAACGACCUUCCUACAGAUGUCAGGACUGCCCAGUCCCUGACCACAUUCCGGCGCCUCCUUAAGACUCACCUCUUCAAACAGCACCUGUAGAACUCCUCUGUUGUAUCCUGGGACACUAUCACCCUUCAUUUAAAUGUGCUUUAUUUUGCUCUUAUCUGCCCCCUAUUUUACUGCAUUUAAUCCUGUACUUCAGAAUAUUGUAAUUUGCCAAGUGUUUAACCUGUAGUAUUUUGUACUUAAUCAUAUCCUGAUGUAACUAUCACUAUUUAAUCAUAUCCUGAUGUAACUAUCACUAUUAUCUGCUGUAUUAUUGAAUUGUGGUUUGUCACACUUGAACAAAAAUUAUUGUAUUUCUUGCUCUUAUUGUAUUACUUGUAUUGUAACACUUGAAUGUAUUUGUAUUUGCUUGCGAUUGUAAGUCGCCCUGGAUAAGGGUGUCUGCUAAGAAAUAAAUAAUAAUAAUAAUAAUAAUUUAACAAUGACACAAUACCAGACUUAAAGCCCUUAAAAUGCUGAGGGUGUUUUGAAUUGGAGGAGAGGUGCUUACA